ensembl:lncRNA
AGAACAAUUUUCUAACCUUCCAGGCGUCGGAUUGUGCUGCUUUUCCAGUGGUGGAUGUGCUGUCAAGGAGAAUGUCAUGAAUUUUGGUACACAGAUAGACAAGAGUAUCUACAAUGGCUAUUAAAAGGAGGACAGACUUGAUGAUCCCCUGUCUCCUGGUGACUGUGUGGAGCCAGCCAGCCGUGGCGAGGCUGCCAUAACUACCAGUUGAGCUCUGUCAGGGAGAUGACCCACUCUCUAUUCAACAAGACCUGCCACGAUGACAGACAGACGGACUGCGAGAUAGGCAGGGCGUUCGGCUUUAUCCAGCUCGGGUCGGAGAAAUAGCUGCUCUGUGCUGCACAAGAUUCCCAACCAAACCCUUCGUAUUGGCUCUAUAACGAUGCCGGGCAACACUGAAGAUGGAGAGGCAGAAUCGAUACGGCUACAGCCUGUGGACCAGUAUGGAGACAGGGGGCUAUUAUUAGGACGUCCUGUCUUUACCACCUGAGCCACUUACACACUUGGGGUAGUCACACACACACACAC